rnacentral:rRNA from 1 species
GUGGGGAAUAUUGGGCAAUGGGCGCAAGCCUGACCCAGCAACGCCGCGUGAAGGAAGAAGGCUUUCGGGUUGUAAACUUCUUUUACCAGGGACGAAACAAAUGACGGUACCUGGUGAAUAAGCCACGGCUAACUACGUGCCAGCAGCCGCGGUAAUACGUAGGUGGCGAGCGUUAUCAGGAUUUCUUGGGUGUAAAGGGCGUGUAGGCGGGACAGCAAGUCAGAUGUGAAAACCAGAGGCUCAACCUCUGGCCUGCAUUUGAAACUGUUGUUCUUGAGUGUCGGAGAGGGAAUCGGAAUUCCGUGUGUAGCGGUGAAAUGCGUAGAUAUACGGAGGAACACCAGUGGCGAAGGCGGAUUACUGGACGAUAACUGACGCUGAGGCGCGAAAGCGUGGGGAGCAAACAGGAUUAGAAACCCUGGUAGUCC